UUUUUGGCCUAUGAUGAUGCA
rnacentral:piRNA from 1 species